UACGGAAGGGGCUAGCGUUGUUCGGACUUACUGGGCGAAAGGAGCGCGUAGGCGGCUUACCAAGUUGGGGGUGAAAUCCCGGAGCUCAACUCCGGAACUGCCUUCAAAACUGGUAGGCUCGAGUCCGGAAGAGGGGCGUGGAAUUCCCAGUGUAGAGGUGAAAUUCGUAGAUAUUGGGAAGAACACCGGUGGCGAAGGCGGCGCCCUGGUCCGGUACUGACGCUGAGGCGCGAAAGCGUGGGGAGCAAAUAGG
rnacentral:rRNA from 1 species